UUGUAAAGCACUUUCGACGGGGACGAUGAUGACGGUACCCGUAGAAGAAGCCCCGGCUAACUUCGUGCCAGCAGCCGCGGUAAUACGAAGGGGGCUAGCGUUGCUCGGAAUGACUGGGCGUAAAGGGCGCGUAGGCGGCGGCGUAAGUCAGAUGUGAAAUUCCUGGGCUUAACCUGGGGGCUGCAUUUGAGACUGCGUUGCUAGAGGAUGGAAGAGGCUCGUGGAAUUCCCAGUGUAGAGGUGAAAUUCGUAGAUAUUGGGAAGAACACCGGUGGCGAAGGCGGCGAGCUGGUCCAUUACUGACGCUGAGGCGCGAUAGCGUGGGGAGCAAACAGGAUUAGAUACCCUGGUAGUCCACGCCGUAAACGAUGUGUGCUGGAUGUUGGGGUUCAUAGAACUUC
rnacentral:rRNA from 1 species